UGUUAGCACUCAGAAAAUUGUAUGUCUCCAAAUUCUAAAUUCCAGGAAUAAUUUGCUGUUCUGUUGGUAGCAACUACAAUGAGCCUUCCUAAGUCAUUUAUAUAGAGACAAUCCUUAGUAUGAAGAAUAAUACGGAAAAGAAAGUAUUAUUAGACAGGUUUAAUUUUAAUUAUACUAUUGUGAAAAGUGGGCUAAAUAUGUAAUUUACAUGACUCUAAGGAUGCUAAUUCCUCUUACUAAUCUAUCUUUCAUUCCCUAUUGUAUUCUCUUAAUUUAAAAUAAUGAAUUGUUUGAAAACUAUAGAAAAUCAUAGGAAAAUUAUAUCACAGCCAUUUGUAUAUUCAACAUCAAGAUGAGGAAAGACAUUUACAUUCUGCCAAAUGGCUUCAGCUCUCCUGUUUGUUUUAACAUAAAGAUCAUUGUAUAGAUUCUGCAAAAUACCUCCCUCCAUAUCUCUUCCUUCUAAUUCCUCUCUUUCUAGAAAUACCUGGUUUCCUAUGGCUGAGGUGUUUAUCAUUCAUUGUUUUAUACUUUUAUACUAAUGUUUAUGCCACCUCCAAAUUAUGUUUCCAUUGGACUGUACAAAUAUAGGUCUUGCAUUUUAAUGACAAUAGACUACUCCAACAUAUGAACAAAUCAGUUUAUUCAUCUGUUUUUACUGUGAAUCAGUUAGUCUGCUUCAAGUUUCUACCCUCACAACACUUAUACAAUGCAUACUAUUGCAGCAUAUAUUUUGUGGAUGUGUGAGAGUUCCUCCAGAGAACACACUUAAGGAAAUUUUGAAACUGCUGGGUUAUCAGCUGAGAGUUCAAGGAAAAAUUCACCCAAGAAAUCAGCUGACUCCUAAUCAGAGUUCUAAUGCAGCCAUUUAUAGCUCUUCAUGCUGCUUCAUCACCCAGGUCCGUGUGGGGAUGAGCUCGGAUAUUUGUCAAGAUAUCUUGACAGAUCAUAUGCAAUGUACAAGGCAGGAACAGUUUUCCCAGACACAUUAAAAAUGUCCACAUUCAAGGGGGAAAAAAAAUCAACUGAUGCACUCACUGCAUUCUUGUUGACUGGUGGCUCAUUACAGAGGCUAAUAAGAGAAAAUACAUUCUCAUAUACUGAUCAUUGGAGCUCAGAGAAUUUGAAGAGAGCCACCUGCUGAGCUACAUGUUCUCCUGUUGACUAAGCACAGACAAAGACAGUAGAGCCUGCUAUGACUGGAGAAACAAAUCAUCAUUCAAAUUCUGGGGCUGGACACAUCAUGCUGCUGCUGCUGCUAAGUCGCUUCAGUCAUGUCCAACUCUGUGCGACCCCAUAGACAGCGGCCCACCGGCCUCCUCAGUCUCUGAGAUUCUCCAGCACCUUUUCCUCCUUCUAUAUGGCAAGUCAAUCUUUCCAUAACCUGUCAACGAGUCACCAGGAAAUUAAACCAUGAUGCAACUCUGAAAUUAGCAGUUGUGAGUUAACAUUCCUUGCCUACCCUACACCUAAACUUUUCCCAGAUAAUUCAACCUGGUCAGUAUAGAGAGAUACCUGAGGCAAUGUUAAUGCCUCAUCAU